AGCUACACGAUUGUCCAAACCCACCUCUGGAGGUACGGGUGCAGAGCCUGAUGGGAAAGAGGAAGCAUGAGCUAAGGAACCAACAGUGGCAGUGACCUCACGUGCAAACCGUCUGUCAGGGCCACAGACACACAUGCAGAAGACAAGAAUCUGAGCAGAGGCUCACUGAGUCCCUUCCCGUCGGACACUGCAAUGAGCUGCUGGCCCCUCUGCUGUGCGGUCCUUUGUCUCCUCGGGGCAGUCCCCCUGGACACUGCAAUUACCCAGAUACCAAAACACCUGCUCGCAGCAACAGGGAGUAAUCAGACCCUCAAGUGCGAACAACAUCUGGGACAUAAUGCUAUGUUCUGGUAUAAACAGAGCGCUCAGAGCCCACUGAAGCUCAUGUUUGCCUACAACUAUAAGAAGCUCGUUGAAAAUGACAGUAUCCCCAGUCGCUUCACACCUGAUUGCCCAGACAGCUCCCACCUGGACCUUCACGUGGCCACCCUGCAGCCAGAUGACUCUGCCGUGUAUCUGUGUGCCAGCAGCAAGGACACAGCCCCGCACAGACAGCUGCUCCCUGUGCACAAACCUCCCCGGUGCAGUCAGGGAGCCGUGGGGAUGACCACGGCUCAGCUCAACGUCUCCCGCGGGGCCCCAGACAGCAAUCCCAGACCAUGACGCUGUCAGUCGGCCGGGUGCAGCGAUGCCCCGGUCCCUGCACAGACGCCCACAGCCUGUGACCGGCUCUGCCCGGGUGCCCCCAUGCCCGCCGCUGAGGACAGGACAGGAACGGUCCACCCGAGGUCCCUCCAGGAGCUUCCGAUCGGCACGUGGCCCCGGGGAAGCUCUCAUGAGACGCGUCCCUCUCUGGCCACAGAGGCGCUGCCCAGCCUCCUGCCCACAGGUGCCUUUCUCCGAUGUUCUUUCCACCCAGGACACACAGAACCUGAAGUCAGGCAGACCCCCAGGCAGCAGGUCACAGAGAUGGGG